CUGGAGUACUCGAGUGGCGAACGGGUUAGUAACACGUGGGUAAUCUGCCCUGCACUCUGGGAUAAGCCUGGGAAACUGGGUCUAAUACCGGAUAUGACCUUUCUCCUUAUGGGGUUUGGUGGAAAGUUUUUCGGUGUAGGACGAGCCCGCGGCCUAUCAGCUUGUUGGUGGGGUGAUGGCCUACCAAGGCGACGACGGGUAGCCGGCCUGAGAGGGUGAUCGGCCACAUUGGGACUGAGAUACGUCCCAG
rnacentral:rRNA from 1 species